UUGACACUAUUCACACUGUCAACCAAUCAUAGAUAUUAAAUUACAUUAGGAAUGAUUGUUAUGGUAAUUAUUUUAAAAGUCAACAAAAUUACUAAACAUGACAAUUUCUGAUUGGUUAGCAGUGUAAAAACCUUUUACAAUGUCAGUAUGUAUACUAUUUAGUCUAUAUAAAAUAUGACUCUUGAAACUUACAUUUGGGGAAAAAAUUGUCCAGGACCUAAUGACUACAAAAUUGAUUCAGCUUUUCCCUGCUAAAUAUAUUGUAGGCACUGCUUGAUCCAAAGGUUGAAGCUAGCAUAGUUGGUGCUACAUUCACAUCACCAGCAGUUGGAGUGGAGCCUUCUCAUCCAAUUUUGGUGGCACUUGCGCCUAUAGUUUCAUUUUUGCUGCCAACAUAUCAAUGUAAUUCUGCAUAUAAAAAGGGGUUGCCAGUUUCUCGAGAUCCGGACGCUCUAAUUGCUAAAUAUUCAGAUCCAUUAGUAUGCACAGGAUCUCUUAGAGUACGUACCGGCUAUGAGAUUCUUCGAACUACGAGCUACUUGCAACAAAAUCUCAGAAAACUGAGAGUUUCCAUUUCAAGUUCUCCAUGCUGAUUCUGUUACUGAUCCUGAUGCUUCUCAAAAAUUGUAUGAACAAGCAUCCUCAACAGACAAAACUAUCAAAUUGUAUGAAGGCUUUGCACAUGACCUCCUUUUUGAACCUAAACGAGAGGAUAUCACUCGCAACAUAAUUCAAUGGCUGAAUAGUCGAAUAUGAAUCAAGUUAGAGCAGUAAGGGAAAAGAUCAUGGAAAAUUUUCAACCCAAGGAAUUGAAAGAUAAAUAGUUCAGUGAUCAAUUUCAUCGGUUGAGAGGAAAAAAACAAACUUGAAGCUGUACAAAAUCUGAGGCAUACUUUUUUGUAUUGGAAUCCUGAAAAUCAUUUAAUGGUUAGCCAAUUCUUUUUAUUA